UGGGGAAUAUUGCACAAUGGAGGGAACUCUGAUGCAGCAACGCCGCGUGCGGGAUGACGGCCUUCGGGUUGUAAACCGCUUUCAGCCAUGACGAAGCUUUUGUGACGGUAGUGGUAGAAGAAGCACCGGCUAACUACGUGCCAGCAGCCGCGGUGAUACGUAGGGUGCGAGCGUUGUCCGGAAUUAUUGGGCGUAAAGAGCUUGUAGGCGGUUUGUCGCGUCGAUAGUGUAAACACGCAGCUUAACUGUGUGCCUGCUGUCGAUACGGGCUGACUAGAGGAGGGUAGGGGAGAAUGGAAUUCCCGGUGGAGCGGUGGAAUGCGCAGAUAUCGGGAGGAACACCAGUGGCGGAGGCGGUUCUCUGGACCUUUCCUGACGCUGAGAAGCGAAAGCGUGGGUAGCAAACAGG
rnacentral:rRNA from 1 species